AACGAACGCUGGCGGCAUGCCUAACACAUGCAAGUCGAACGAGACCUUCGGGUCUAGUGGCGCACGGGUGCGUAACGCGUGGGAACCUGCCCUUAGGUUCGGAAUAACUCCCCGAAAGGGGUGCUAAUACCGGAUAAUGUCUUCGGACCAAAGAUUUAUCGCCUUUGGAUGGGCCCGCGUUGGAUUAGCUAGUUGGUAGGGUAAAAGCCUACCAAGGCGACGAUCCAUAGCUGGUCUGAGAGGAUGAUCAGCCACACUGGGACUGAGACACGGCCCAGACUCCUACGGGAGGCAGCAGUGGGGAAUAGUGGACAAUGGGCGAAAGCCUGAUCCAGCAAUGCCGCGUGAGUGAUGAAGGCACUAGGGUUGUAAAGCUCUUUUACCCGGGAUGAUAAUGACAGUACCGGGAGAAUAAGCGCCGGCUAACUCCGUG
rnacentral:rRNA from 1 species